rnacentral:rRNA from 1 species
CCUACGGGAGGCAGCAGUUAGGAAUCUUCCACAAUGGGCGAAAGCCUGAUGGAGCGACGCCGCGUGAGGGAUGAAGGUCUUCGGAUCGUAAACCUCUGAAUCAGGGACGAAAGACACUUCGGUGGGAUGACGGUACCUGAGUAAUAGCACCGGCUAACUCCGUGCCAGCAGCCGCGGUAA